GAGGGGGCAGGCUGCACCAUCGUCCGGCCCGGGAGCUUCCUCUUCGCUCUGCUCGUGUUCGACUCGACUCCAUCCUCCGACCCGCAGAGCCUCCUGGAAGUGGAAGCAAGCGAAGCACGCUAGGGUUUUCCUUCCGCCGGGGACCCCGCAGGCCCAAGGCUCGUCGGCGAGGGGGAGCGCGGACGGCGGCAGCCAUGGCGUCCACCAAGGUGCAGCGGAUCAUGACCCAGCCCAUCAACCUCAUCUUCCGCUUCCUCCAGAGCAAGGCGCGCAUCCAGAUCUGGCUCUUCGAGCAGAAGGACGUGCGGAUCGAGGGCAGGAUCAUCGUCUUCGAUGAAUACAUGAAUCUGGUCUUGGAGGAUGCUGAGGAGAUCAACAUCAAGAAAGACACUAGGAAGUCUCUUGGUAAUGAAACGAGUACUUUGCUAUCAUUUAUUUAUUUUGUUCUCAGACUAGUGAAAACUCCAUAAUUUGUCUCCUCAAUCAUUUGCAGGUCGGAUCCUCUUGAAAGGAGAUAACAUUACACUAAUGAUGAACACGGGGAAGUAACAACAGCUCAGUGACUGUUCUAUUGCAAGGAUAACUAACAACCAACAUAUCCUGAGCUCCUAGGGUUGCAAACUUGAGGCCGUAGUAGAUGUUCCUCUCUGUGUUCUCAUCUAAAUUUGAUUGUAAUUAUGAUAUAUUUUGCCAGAGAGAACAGGCUCUGUGAGGUAAAAGUGUGUUAUCCAGAUCAUGAGCUUAGCACUUGUGCUAGCUUAAUUCAGAGGCAUCGAUGUUCUGGUGGUUUGUGCUCUCAUUGAAAUAUGAACGUGGUGGUACUGAUUGUUCUCUUGGAAUUUUUUAGGCCCUUGUGUAAGAUAAAAGUAUCAUUCUGUGAAAGUUCUUGUGACGAAGUUA